UACGUAGGGGGCAAGCGUUGGUCCGGAUUUAUUGGGCGUAAAGAGCGUGUAGGCGGCCAGACAGGUCCGUUGUGAAAACUCGAGGCUCAACCUCGAGACGCCGAUGGAAACCGUCUGGCUAGAGUCCGGAAGAGGAGAGUGGAAUUCCUGGUGUAGCGGUGAAAUGCGCAGGAUAUCAGGAAGAACACCCGUGGCUAAGGCGGCUCUCUAGUACGGUACUGACGCUGAGACGCGAAAGCGUGGGGAGCGAACAGG
rnacentral:rRNA from 1 species